UACGACGGGGGCUAGCGUUGUUCGGAAUUACUGGGCGUAAAGCGUGCGUAGGCGGGUUGCUAAGUCAGGUGUGAAAUCCCGGGGCUCAACCUCGGAACUGCAUUUGAUACUGGCGGCCUAGAGACCGGGAGAGGUGAGCGGAAUACCGAGUGUAGAGGUGAAAUUCGUAGAUAUUCGGUGGAACACCAGUGGCGAAGGCGGCUCACUGGACCGGUACUGACGCUGAGGCACGAAAGCGUGUGGAGCAAACAGG
rnacentral:rRNA from 1 species